CGGCGGGACAGCGGGCAACGGAAUCCCAAAAGCAGCUGUUGUCUCCAGAGCAUUCCAGCUGCGCUUGGAUUUCGUUCCCUGCUCUCCUGCCU
ensembl:miRNA MIR191 microRNA 191